CCUACGGGAGGCAGCAGUGGGGAAUAUUGCGCAAUGGGCGAAAGCCUGACGCAGCGACGCCGCGUGAGGGAUGAAGGUCUUCGGAUCGUAAACCUCUGUCAGCAGGGAAGAACGGUCACUGUGCUAAUCAGCAGUGAAUUGACGGUACCUGCAAAGGAAGCACCGGCUAACUCCGUGCCAGCAGCCGCGGUAAUACGGAGGGUGCGAGCGUUAUUCGGAAUUACUGGGCGUAAAGCGCUCGUAGGCGGUAUGUCAAGUCAAGGGUGAAAUCCCCGCGCUCAACGUGGGAACUACCUUUGAAACUGGCAAACUGGAGUGUGUGAGAGGAUAGUGGAAUUCCAGGUGUAGGAGUGAAAGCCGUAGAUAUCUGGAGGAACAUCAGUGGCGAAGGCGACUAUCUGGCACAUAACUGACGCUGAGGAGCGAAAGCGUGGGUAGCAAACAGGAUUAGAUACCCUGGUAGUC
rnacentral:rRNA from 1 species